rnacentral:tRNA from 1 species
GCGAGGAUGGCGGAAUUGGCAGACGCGCUAGACUUAGGAUCUAGUGGGGUAACCCGUGGGGGUUCGAAUCCCCCUCCUCGCACCA